GCCGGGAUGGCGGAAUUGGCAGACGCAGUGGACUCAAAAUCCACCGGACCGGAAGGUCCUUGCGGGUUCGACUCCCGCUCCCGGCACCA
rnacentral:tRNA from 1 species